rnacentral:lncRNA from 1 species
GCAAUAAUAUUUUUUAGUCCUUUGAACAGUUAUAAAAAUAAAAUAAAAAAUCAACAUCAUUUUUUUGUGUUUAGAGUGUUAAGAAGUUUACUGUGUUCUUUGAAUUACUUUAAUUAUCCUUUAAAUAGAUUCGUAGUUUUUCAUACUCUAUGUGAUCUUUUGAAAGUUCCCAAAAAGUUAUAAGGAUUUGUGUAGUCUUUUAAAAACUUUUUAUGAUAUUUUAUAAUGUCAUAUAUUCUUCCAAAAAAUAAAAUAAAAUAAAUAAAUAAAAAUCCUUUCUUGUAAGCCUCUUUAAUUUUCUAAAAAGUUCACAAGUUUUAUAAAAGCUCCUAAAAACACUUAAAAGUUUUCAUAUGAGUUUGUCAGUCCAUGGCACAUCAGCUACAUAAAUUAGCCAAAAAAAGGAAAAAUUGAAGAUUAAUUCAAAAAAAAAUCAUAUACUUACUUUUUAUACACUUUUUAUGUGCAUAUCCAUUAUAAAAUUUGAACAGGAUAAAUUUAAAGUUUUAAAAUUUCAAUGUAUAUAUAUAUAUAUAUAUAUAUAUAUAUAUACUCUACCUUUUGUAAAAAAACUUGACUUAAAAUAUAUUUUUUAAAAGUAUAAGUUAUCUACUGUUACAUUAUUAUGUUAUCAUAUGUUAAAUUAAAUUAAAUUGAAACAAUUUAUCAGUGAGAGAAUAAAGAGGAAGUUACAAAAAUUGCAUUAUGCAAAUCCACAAUCAAUUUUUCUUCUACUAUUCUUUAUAAAAUCUCUUCCAAACACCAUUGUAUAUCAUGAUGUUUGCCUCAACUCUCACCUAAGUACCCACAUCUCAUUGUAUUCUCAUUUUUUUUUAAAAAAUAAUUUAUUUUUAAAAAAAUCCAACUUUUAAUUAUGUUUCAAUCAUUUUUUAGGUAAAACAAUCCACCACCACUUUCACCUCCUUAAUUAUUAUCUUUAAAAAAACCAUGAAAAGAAUGAUUUGCAAUAUAUAUACAUAAUACAAAUGGGGCUGUACUACUACUACUAAUAUAUCACAACUACUUUUUUCUCUUUUCUAGAGUGCAAUCCAUAUUGGAUGUGUAGGGUUUGGGUGGUUGGCUGGUCUGCACCCCCAUCAUCAUCCCCCUCCCCCUUCUCCCAAUACAAAUAACCAUAACACAUCCAUCCCAUUCUAUAAAAUGGCAUUAAAAGAACUGACUCAAGCCUUGAUAACCAGUAUCUCCUGAUUCUUCUUUCCUACUUUUUUCCCAAUCAGAGUAAAAGAGUGUUGGAAGUGGGCAAAGGUGGUGUGCAUGGAAGGAAGGAAGGAAGGAAGGAAGGAAGGUGUGCGUGUGUGUGUGUGUUUGUGUUGGGGUUAUUUAUUUAUGUGUAUGGCUGGGCUGCUGUACAAGGCACAGUCCCCCACCCCACCAAAAAGAGCCUUGGGUAAUACUACUCCACAGAAUGAGAUCCAGAAGCAGAAGAAGCAGCAGCACAAAUUUCACAUGUGGAUGACAGCAGGACAAUGAUCAAAUUGGGAGGGGGGGGGGGUGCUUAGAACUAAUUACAAUGCCAAUUUCUCAAACAGAGAUAAAUUAACAGUAAGUGAGUGAGUGGGACCACUAACUUAGACUGCAAGGAGAGAGAGAGAGAUGGGAAGGGAAUAGUGGGAGGGGGGAAGUCAGAGGAGGCAUUGAGUUCUCAAUCAUUAGCUUAACAAUAACUGCCCACCAUUAAUUACCAUUAACAUUACCACCACCACCAGCAGCACCAUCAACACUGCUCCUCCUGCACAGUUGUCUCCAUUAGCAAAGCAUUCACAUGAAUGAACUGGCCUUUUGAAUGGACGUUUCCUGUCUGGGACACAUAUCAAGCCUCUGGACAAAUCCACUUGCUCUUUAUGUCAAGCUCACAGUCAUGCCCACAGAUGUGCUGAUAUAUAUAUAUAUGUAUAUGUAUAGAUAUUCACAUACACGGAGAGAGAGUGAUAGAGACAGACAGAGACAAAUAGAGAGUGAACUAAGGGCAUCCGCACCGGUUGGAGCCAACGCUCGCGCCAGGGAGGCCCUUGCGCGGUCCCUACCGGUUGACGCAAUCCGGCGUCUUGAAAAUUGGUGGGUCCGUGAAUGGAGCCCUGGCCAAUCCGUAAGGGGC